ensembl:misc_RNA Y_RNA Y RNA
GGCUGUUCCAAAACAGUAAGUUAUCUCUAUUGAUUGUUCAGUUACAGAUCAAACUCCUUGUUCUACUCUUUUCCCUCCUUCUCACUACUGCACUUGACUAGUCAAAA